GACGAACGCUGGCGGCGUGCUUAACACAUGCAAGUCGAACGGAAAGGCCCUGCUUUUGUGGGGUGCUCGAGUGGCGAACGGGUGAGUAACACGUGAGUAACCUGCCCUUGACUUUGGGAUAACUUCAGGAAACUGGGGCUAAUACCGGAUAGGAGCUCCUGCUGCAUGGUGGGGGUUGGAAAGUUCCGGCGGUUGGGGAUGGACUCGCGGCUUAUCCGCUUGUUGGUGGGGUAGUGGCUUACCAAGGCUUUGAAGGGUAGCCGGCCUGGGAGGGGAGCCGGCCACAUUGGGACUACGAGACGGCCCAGACUCCAACGGGAGGCAGCAGGGGGGAAUAUUGCACAAUGGGCGGAAGCCUGAUGCAGCAACGCCGCGUGCGGGAUAACGGCUUUCGGGUUGUAAACCGCUUUCGCCUGUGACGAAGCGUGAGUGACGGUAAUGGGUAAAGAAGCACCGGCUAACUACGUG
rnacentral:rRNA from 1 species